UCCUCUUUUCUUCUUUACUCCACUCCCACAGUUUUGUAAUGAAGAUUUCAUCAUCAUGGCUGCAAUCUCUGGAGGGCAAGCAUAUCCUCUUAACAGGUGGAUCAAGUGGGAUUGGUCUUGCCAUUGCUAAAGAGUCUCUCUCAAGGAGCAUUCGUCACAAUUGUAGAUAGAAGGUCCACUGAAUUGGAGAAAGAAGAACAAAAUUUUGCCGAAAAUGGUGAUAUCAAACAUAAAAUAUUAACCCAGGGUUGCAGAUGUGGGUGUGUAUGAAACUUUGGCAGAGGCAAUAAAUGAAUCUUUUGAAUGGAGAGCUGUUGACGUGCUGGUUUGCAAUGCAGGUGUGGCAAAAUUUGUACUUCUGGAUGAGGGCAGGAUUGAAGAUCUGCAUGACAUCAUUCAGACUAACUUGACAGGGGUUGUCAAUACUUUGCAUGUUGGGAUUCCAUUGAUGAAGAAAAGAAGUCCCCAAACACCCAUGUCCAUUGUUCUCCUUGAAUGUAAAUAGGAGGGGGAAACCACUCCCAACUUCAAUUGGAGAUAAUCAAAAGUCUUCUUGGGAAAAGGUUUUAUAAAAAUGUCUGCAAUUUUUUGUAGUCUGAA